UACGUAGGGGGCAAGCGUUAUCCGGAUUUACUGGGUGUAAAGGGAGCGUAGACGGCAGUGCAGGUCUGAAGUGAAAGGCAAGGGCUCAACCCUUGGACUGCUUUGGAAACUGUGCUGCUGGAGUGUCGGAGAGGCAAGUGGAAUUCCUAGUGUAGCGGUGAAAUGCGUAGAUAUUAGGAGGAACACCAGUGGCGAAGGCGGCUUGCUGGACGAUGACUGACGUUGAGGCUCGAAAGCGUGGGGAGCAAACAGG
rnacentral:rRNA from 1 species